GGUCAAUGAUGAAUAGUAAAAGGUCUGAAUGCCCAAGGGAAUCGCACUCUCAUUACCCUUUAAGCUCCCAGCAGUCUCUCUUUGUUCCAUCAAGCUAUAGCAGUGCUGUGAUUGGGGGAGAGGCUGCUGACAAUUUGGGGUAUGCUCAGUUCCUGUUAUCCACAGUGUAAGGAAGCAUGGCACUGACUGUCAUCCAACAGAGCCAAUGAAGGAGUGUAGGGUUUUGGAGUGUCUUGAUUUGGGGUAUGUGAUUUCAAGUUUUCAAGCUGAGACC
rnacentral:snoRNA from 1 species